AUUGAACGCUGGCGGCAGGCCUAACACAUGCAAGUCGAACGGUAGCACAGGAGAGCUUGCUCUUUGGGUGACGAGUGGCGGACGGGUGAGUAAUGCAUGGGGAGCUGCCCAAUCGAGGGGGAUACUAGCUGGAAACGGCUGCUAAUACCGCAUACGCCCUGAGGGGGAAAGGUGGGGACCUUCGGGCCUACCGCGAUUGGAUGCACCCAUGUGGGAUUAGCUAGUUGGUGAGGUAACGGCUCACCAAGGCGACGAUCUCUAGCUGGUUUGAGAGGAUGACCAGCCCCCCUGGAACUGAGACACGGUCCAGACUCCUACGGGAGGCAGCAGUGGGGAAUAUUGCACAAUGGGGGAAACCCUGAUGCAGCCAUGCCGCGUGUGUGAAGAAGGCCUUCGGGUUGUAAAGCACUUUCAGUCAGGAGGAAGGGGAGUAGGCUAAUAUCCUGCUUCAUUGACGUUACUGACAGAAGAAGCCCCGGCUAACUCCGUG
rnacentral:rRNA from 1 species